rnacentral:misc_RNA from 1 species
AAAGUCGUAACAAGGUUUCCGUAGGUGAACCUGCGGAAGGAUCAUUAUUGAUGGGCUCUCCGCCCAAAGAUAGAACCCUUGCCUUUGUGUAUCCUGUGUUUCCUCGGCGGGUUCGCCUGCCAGUGAGGACCAAACAAAACCUUUUAUAAAUAUAGUAAACGUCUUAAAAACAAAUCGUUAAAACUUUCAACAACGGAUCUCUUGGUUCUG